GUUGCGCGGGGGCCGGGCGCGCGCCCGGAGGACGAGCGGCUGCCGUUAGCGUUCGCCACUGGCCAUUGCGCGCUGGCGGCCAGCCCUCGGACGGUGAGGCCCUUCUGGCCUCCUGCGGUGCCUCGGCCUGUAACCCGGAAUGGUUGAGCGGGAGGCCGGGUCAGGGGCGGAGGCCGCUAGGGAAGGGCAGGAGUCGGCAUCGCUCAGCCCCGGCCCGCCCAGGCUCCCCAGCUGAGAAGCCCCCAGUGGGGCUCCUGGUCACCCGAGGGGCUCCCCCGAGGCGGAAGUCUCUGGAAAACAAAGGAAUUCAAGAGGAGCUUCUCUGAAACUUGACCCUGCCAUGGCACAACUCUCCAGUUUUCUUCACUGUCUCCAGAACAGGAGUUUUUCUGGGACAGAUGGCACAAGAGCACCAGAAUCCUCCACCAGGGCAGACAUUGUUCGGAUGUGGAUCUUGGGAGCCUCACCCCCUUGGAGCUCACGGACUGAGAACAAGGAGUUCCCCUCCCAUCAGGGACUUUCUGAAAGAUGAUCCCCAUGAGGGACCUCACGCAGACCCUGUGGGCACUAGGAAAUGCCUCAGAAUGUUCCAGAACCUUCAGCUGGCAUUGGGGACUCUCCCAGAGGUGAAGCCAAGCAGUUCUCCUCCCCAAGACAAGACCUUCCAGCAGAAGAGAGAAGGCAGAUGCUGUGACAGGGACAAGAGGUAGCCUGCAGCCAGACUUAAAACUCUUUGAAGAAGAGCCACAUUGUGUCCCUUGGAUCCUCCCCAGCACCUUCAAGCAUUGACACCUCAGAAUCGUGGCGGGGCUUGGAAGCUGCAUGGGGCUAUGGUGCCACCCUCUGAGCAGAGGGUCCAGGACAUGCCUUUGGCUGAAGACGCGGCUUCCUCCUUAGGGAUGGCUGAAAUUCUCUUCUGGUCACACGGGGCAAAAGGUGACUUUGUAUUUACUGCCGUCCUUUCUAGCCCACACCACAAGGCAGGCUAGCCAAGGUAGCCCCAGAGACCAUCAGGUGGCUGGCCAUCUGUCUCCAUUGUCUCAGCUGUGCCCGAGAGAUGUAACUAUUUGCCAUAUGUUGUGCUGGGCCUGGGAGGGACCUGGGAAAGGACAGGCAGGGAACAGCCAGAAUUCAUUCGGUGGGAAAGCCACCCAUCCCAGCGCCCUGGUUAAGUAUGACUGGCUCAGGACCUUCCUCCACGUGAACUUGGAGCUCCUUGUGGGCAGAGCUGUGUCUUGGGCCUGUCCCUGCUUCACGGUGCCUGGUUCAGCAAAUAGGUAUCUGUUUGCAGAGUGUCUGCCUUGGAGUAAUCACUCUUUAGCUCCUGACAACUGACAGCCAGGGCUCAUGGAGUAACAAGGAGAGCAGAGGUAGGAUGACUGUGCUCUCAUCCCACCUAGGUUCUCUCCACCUCCUGUGAGUACAUCAUCCCGUUGGUAUGUGGCUAAAUUCUAGGUCCCAUGCACAAAGUACAGGAAAGUCCCUUUAUCUUUUAUUAAUUGCAAAUUUUCUCUCCCCCUUGAAAAAUGGGACAAACUGCUUAAGUCUGUGUUUUUGUGUAGCCUAGGAGUUCUCCAUUCACUUUCUUUAAAGCAAGUUAAAACUGUAGGGACAGUAAAAAAUCAUCCUUAGUGGUGGCAACUGCAUUUUCUAGAAACACAUUUUCUACCCCGGUGACCUUUGGCUUGGUGAGCCUAUCCUGGGCCGUGGAGCUUUAAGGAGAAGAGGAGAGCAUGCCUAGCUAGCUGCCCCUCCUGGGCCCACCAGGGGCCACCUGCUCACCCACUGGCCUCUGGGCCAGAGGGGAUAGCCAGGCACCAGCUCUACGUUCUCUAACCUGAAAGUUUAUAGAUGGUGUCAUUUAUAGUGAGUCUCCAGAAUAUUCUCUCAACCUGAAAGUUUAUAGAUAGUGUGUCAUUUAUAGUGAGUCUCCAGAAUAUUCUCUCAAAUUUCUCUUGUAAUAACUGUUCCAGGCAGUUUAUGAAAUUAUGAAGACAAGAGAUUGAAGUGGAUAAUCAGAGGAGCAAAGGCUGGGGGGGGGGGCGGGAUCCUAAACCAGGGCCCCCUGAAGGAGGCAAAGGCCACUCACAGAGGGCACAAGGCUUCUGGGAAGUUGCUCGAGAAGUUGAGUCUAGAUGGAGAGCAGUGAAGCGGCCCCACCCAUCCCCAUGGCAAGGACCGUAACUGCCAAGCCAGCCUAGUGAUGUCUCCUCGCAGGCCUGCUCUGCUGAGAAAGCCGUGAGCAGAAUCCCGUUUUAUCUUCUCAACAACCCUUUGUAGUAGGUAUUUUUAUUUCUAAUUUUAUGCUACAAAUGAAGGAAAUAAGAUGUGGAGAGGUUGAAUCACUUGCUCAAGGUCAUGCAACUACUAACUAGAGCUAGAGCCCAAUUCCUUCCCGUGCUGUUAAAAGUUGGGGUUUCCCCAUUGUAGGAUUUUUAAUUCCGUUUGCUGGAAUGCCAGCCCAUUUUCGGUCCUUGGCCAUCUUGGAAUAGUCUUGUUUCCACAAUCUCUUCUUCAGCCUGUCAAAGCCACAGAAAGGUCUUCAGGAGACCAGUCCCAGGAGGUGGUAAGCGCUUCAGUCCCUAUGAAAGCUGUGUUCAUGGGAGACCGCACGCGCCCCCCGGCAGCCACAGGACCUCUGCCGAGGGUGCCGGUAGAGGGGGAGUCUCAGGUCACGGCAGACUAAACUCUGUGGUUAUGUGCUUGUGCUGGGGUCAGGCAGUACAGUUUAUUUGUGCUUAGCUAUGUCUGGGCCUCCACUGGAGUGACCACUCUGGAGAUAGCUGGGAUGGUCCAGCUGGGGCUCUGCCUGGGGCCCGGCUUCUGUCUGCCAGGUGGAUUCCUCCAUCCCUCCUCUGGUAGCAUCUACGGGGCCAAAACAUCCAAAGUGGCUUUUCACUCACAUUCCUGGAACCUCCCCCAUCUUCCAUGUGGCCUUUCUCCAGGAGAGUGGCCUGAUCUUGUGCUGUUGUCCAGGCUCUCAGAACCAUGGCCUCUGCUCCUGUCCACUGCAGGCCCCACCUGUCCUCCUCCACCCCCUCCCCUGUUGUCCAGGUGACUGUCACAUCAUGAGACCCUGCCUCGGUGUGUACGUACAAUUCACUGGGCCAGGAUCCAACAGGAGCUGGCCAAUGACUUUUGAAGUCAUCUGACCCCACAAUAGAAGUGAAGCAGCCAGACUAGUCAGGCUCCUCCUUUUGUAAAUUUGAGCCAGAAAUCAAAAAAGGUAGUGUGUGACCAGGUGUCAUGAGGGCGAGCAGGGCCUGGAUGGACCAGUGUUAGUCACAGUGACACUGGAGGAGAAAGAGUAAAGGAAACAAAGCAAGCCGUGACGUGGAGAAGGUCAUGGAGGGAAAGCAAGCCUUGUUUGGAGCAAGCGCAUACAGGACAGAAGGCCGAGGCAGAGCCGCCAGCCCCGGAACUGCCCUGUUGUUGUGGCUCCCUGGGCCCAGCCUCGCCCAGGUGAUACCACAGCAGCCACACUGGCUGUUACCUUUGCUUGCAGUUGGCUUAGAAGUGGGCCUGCUACUUCAUUCUGCUAAUAACUUAGGGGAAGUGACAGGGACUGCCCAAGCCCCUGAGGCAGCAAGCACAAGGGGGAGGCCAGAAUGCAGAGGUGACAGCAGACAGGCAAAAGGAGCCUGGGUCCUUGAUGACAUGGUUGAGCCACUAUACCUAUCCUGGAACUACCUACUUCCAGUAUUGUUGCUGUGUAAGUUAAAAGUCUUAUUUUCUAAGCAGAUUUCUGCUACUUGCAGCCUGAAGCAUUCCUAUCCCCAUAGCUGCCCCUUAGAGCACAUGGCUCUUUCUGGAGCUCCAAGUGGAGACUCGCCCUGAGUGUUAACAUGAGAAGUCCUGUUCAUACAACAAGAAAUAAAAGUCAGGAUUUGUCACAGCUCACACAGCUGUUAGUCCCAACUGCCACGGCCUAUAGGAUACAGACAAGGAAAGAAAAAUAUUCAGGACAUUUCCACAAGUAUGGGCAUGAGUCUUCUAAACUGGGGCUCAAUAACGAAUUUGAGGAAGAUCAAGUUCAGUGGGGGGUUAAUGCCUAAGAUCCAAAGCCCAAGCAAGGUUCAGGAAGCCAUGGGAGGAGCAGGAAGUUGAGCUGAACAAAUGGUAGGUAGGUUGGACAAAUUCUGGGAAGGAUGCCCAGGACUCCAGGUGGAUGGUAGGAGCUCGGGGGACCAGCCAGAAAGAAGCCUAAGCACCUGGAACUAACCGUGACCCCGACCCGCCCACCUGCCGACCUUCCUGAUGCUUUAGGUUCUCAAAAAGUAAGAUAUCCCCCGCAGCCCUGGGUUGCCACCCUGGCAAGCCCCGUUUCCUUAUUCCUCAUCUCUUCUCCCUCCAUCUUCCCCUUUUUUUCCUCCACUUUUGUCCUCUCUGUGCAAAGUCAGGCCUCAGAAAUGCACAAGACCUGAGUCAUUCUAACGCAAUUGGGGGAUUAAAAUGGAGGCCAGGGUAUUUUGCUCGUCUAGAAUGCUCAUCUGGGAAGAGGAGUUAGACUGGCGAGAGGGGAAGCAAUUGCUAAAUGAGGACUGGAGAAAGCUUCCUUCUGGUGCAACUCUCAUGUUCUUUUGUGUGUUUUUAACAUAAGAAAUGUACCCAUUCUUCCCUUAAAAAAUGGGAAGCUGAACUCAAGAGCCCUAGCCCUUCUUUUUUGAAACUCUUUUUAAAAAUAUAAAACGAAGAUUAGACUGGCAUCUUCUUAAUCAGUCUUACCAAUGUGCACUGUUCCCCUGCAUUCAGACCCUGAGAAAAGCCACCGGCCCCAUUUCCCAUCUCUGAAUGAUCUUGUGCAGAUGUGACCCAUAGAAGUUCUUCAGAUCUUUGGAGCCCAACCACAGAUGUGUUGCAAUCUUAGAAGUUGUGACCACCAGUUUCUGUCACUGAGCCUCGGCCCUCUCGGUGCAGUACUAUGUUCCUGAACAAGGCAUGCAGGCCUGUGCCCCAGGCUGAACAGCCCAAAAAGAAAAUCCUAUAACCAGAGGAGUGAAAUUCCUGGUUGGAGUGAAUGAAGCAAAAAGUUUAACCCCCUGCCUUGUGAUAGGAUGAACACAUCAGAGCAUUCCGUGAGCCCUGCAUGUCCCUGGGAGUCACCAAAGAGCCUCUGAAACUCUUGAGACCAAAGGCACUUGUUCCCCCGACUGCUGCUCAUCAAGACUUUUCUCCAGCAUGAAGUAGCCUGAUGACUGACCUAGAGUGCGCUCAUCUCUCAAAGACGACGUGUCUCUCCUGUGAAUCCCCCAAUGAUGAGAAAGAGCUAAGCAGGCCCAUGUGAUCCUACCCAUUAGCCUCUCUCCAGGGUGACCUAAUGUCCCCGCAGCCAUGCUACCCCUAGAAGGUCUGCCAUAUUCAUCACACCUGACCAGCUUAAGGCCCAUUUGAGUCCAUUGGUAUUGUCCAAGGACAGGACUGUGAUGAAGCCACUUCUUCCUCCAUUAUGCUUCCAGGACCUCUCUCUGCUGCAAACUCCCAGAUGUCUGGCUGGUGCCAAGCACUAUUUAAAGACAGUCGUUUGCAUCCAUCACAUGCAUAUGGUUUUUCUCCAGUGUGAAUUCUCUGACGUUGAAUGAGCUUUGCUUUCUGAAAGCCCUCCCACAUUUUAUCGCAUCUGUAGUUUCUGUUGCAUGUGACGUAGCCAGUGCUGUGGGGGGGUGCUGACAGAUGCCUCCCCCCACCCACUCUCUACAAGAUGAGUGUUAUUUCAAAAGGACCGGAGCCCCAAGGAAAUUGCCUGUAUUCACAACAGUCAAAGCUGUUCUCUCCGAUAUGAAACUGUAACACUGAAUAAAUCCGGAAUCCUUACCCAAGACUUGGCCACGCGUGUCUUACUUGGACCUUAUCUCACUUCUAAAGAGUUGAAGUGCAGAUUUUUCCAUAUUUACCACACUUAAGGGAUGGGGUCCCUGAGACAGUGCUCUGAGGUGUGUCAGUCUUCAUGGCCUGGCCAGCGUCAGCGACCCCCUCGGGGCAUCCUCUUUGCUCCCUCUGCUGUGGAAGACCCUGUUUGGAUGUCAGCUUGUUGUUCCUGGUCCCUUCUCACAAUAUAAAAUUGUGGAAAAUAUAAGUAUGGACCAUUCUCUCUCAAAGGACAAGACAAUUACUUGGACUGAGGGUGGAAGAUUUUGGAAGAAGAAUUAAAGGCUGCCUUUGAGCAAAUAUACAAAAUGAUGGCUUCUUCAGAUUGCUGGUUAUUUAGUUCUCAUUCCUUUCAUGAACUCAGUUUUGGUUACAGUGAAAAUGUGCCUAUUAAAAAUACCUUCUCUAGUGACAUGGGAGGGGCAUGUGGGGAGGUACAAGGAGGCUGUGAGUGCUCUGUCCAUUGUUCUGGAUUACUGACCAGGUGGACAUGCUCACCUUGGGAAAAUCCGUCAAGUUUUAUAUUUGUAAUUUGUGCACUUUUUAUACAUGAAAAGUAAAAUAAAAAUCUGUCUCUUCCCCCAUUCAGCAACAGGGCAGUCAUGACAAAUAAGAUACAAGCAGAAUUUGUGCUUCCAAAAUACAUUGAAGGCAGCAGCCUCUGGACCGUGACUCUUGUUGCUUCUCCCUAUCUGGUCCUCUUCCUGCCUGCUCCCAGGAUGUGACCAGGUGGAGAAGACCAUGGGCAGAAGGUGGCUCCGUGAACAUAGGAAGGGGCCCCUUCUUAUGGUUAUGAAAUUUUUUAUAGUUUCUAAGUUUUGUGUGCUUGUACUUUUUCUAGUUCAGAAUUAUUAGGAUGUUAAGCGCUUCCUCCUCCCAGUGUGCGUGUGUGUGUGCGUGUGUGUGUGGGAUCUCACUAUAUUGCUCAGUCUUGAACUCAUGGACUCAAUCAGUCCUCCUGCUGCAGCCUCCCAAGUAGCAGGAACUACAGGUGCAUGGCACAUGCCUGGGUUAUUAACCGAUUUCAACAGUUCUUUUAUGAUUUUUUGGUGGGGAAGUGAUACUGGGGAUUUAAUCCAAAGGUGCUUAACCACUGAGCUACAUCCCCAGCCUUUAUUUUUUAUUUUGAAACAAUCUCACUAAGUGGCUAAGGCUGGCCUGGAACCUUGUGAUCCUCCUGUCUCAACCUCCAGAGCCACUGGGAUUACAGGCAUGUGCCACUACACCUGGCUAGUAUUUUUAUGACUUCAUUUUUAUGUUCAAGUCUUGGAUCGAAGUGGAAUAGGAGCCAGUUCUCCCCUCCCACCCAUGAUCAACCAGCUGUCCCAAAAAUACCUAGUGAAUAACUCUUCCCAACUAUUUUGAAAUGCUAACUUAUUGUUAAAUUUGUAUUUAAAUUGGGUCUUUGUCUUUAAUCACUUUUAUUUAUCUGUCUGAAUCUUCUCUAGUACCUAAUUAUUUUGCUUUAUCAUUUGUUUUAGCAUCUAAUAAGGCCAGUCUCCUCAUUACCCAUUUUUCCACAACACUCAUGUUAAAAAGGGGGGCAGUUAAGUUGGAGUCACUCAAGAUUGAAAAAUGAAAAAAAAAAAAAUGGAGAUUGGACCAGAGGCACUUUACCACUGAGCCAUAUCCCCAGACCAUUUUAUUUCAUUUUAAGAUAAGGUCUUGCUAAGUUGCUGAGGCUGACCUCAAACUUGCCAUCCUCCUGCCUCAGCCUCCUCAUCCCUGAGAUCAUAGGCAUGCACCAUCCCACCUGGCUGAAAACUACUUUCAAGAAGUGUUAAAUGUGGCCAGUUGACAACACAUGGACAAGAUAUUAGAUAAAAAAUGAUGAAAGGAAAACAAUGUAACAUAAUCACAAAAUAUUAGGUUCACUUAUGAUGUCAGAGAUUGCACAAAGCUUCCAUAAUAUAGAUAACAUCUUAACAAUAUCUUUUUUCUAAGUAAUCAUGGUUUUUUCUACAAGUUCUUCCUGGAACCAUCUUAUAUAAAGAGGUCAUAUUUUCUCUUAAUAAUUACUUGUAUCCAGAACUCAGCAUCAAAGAAAUCCCAGCUCUAAUAAAUACAUCAAAAACGUAAUAUGCUUCGAGUCCUAUGACGUUGAGGUAUAUAUAGAGAGAUAAGCACACAGAUACCCAGAGAUAUAUUAACUCAACACUGGUGAUUAUACAGGUCUCAAUGAAGUGUGAAUUCUACACAAAGCAAAAAACCACUCUGCCAUUCUAUCCAGUCUAAAAAUAGUCUAUGACAAAAAAAAACAAACAUAAUGUUAGCAAUUGUGCUUCCCUUUUUGGAAUUCAGGAAGAUCAUGAGGAAAUUAUGUGUGAUGUGCAGGUUCUUUUCAAAAUAAGCUUUCCACAGAAAACGGAAAUGAUCCUUUCUCUUUCGUCUGAUACAUUUCCCUGAAACAAACAGAUGCAUUCAGAAUAAUUCCAUUGACCUUAUUGCUGCAUAUAAUUUUUGGCUUUCCCAGAUCAUGGCUAUUAUAGUUGUAUUUAAGGCAUCAUUGGGACCAUAUGUAUGAAAGAAAUAUUAAGAGACCUAGUUUCUUGUGUCGUGCCUUUACUGGAGAAAUGUUCCAUGUUUGUGUAAUAAAAAUAAAAAUGACAUGUUUGAAAAAA